rnacentral:lncRNA from 1 species
AAAGUAUGAGAGAAAUUAGUACUUUCCAAAUUUAUUUUUUGUACCGUAAAGAAUCAAAUUACUCAUAAAAUUAUUUUUAACUUUCAUGAUGCAAACAAACAAAUCAUCAUUAAUUUCAAUAGAAAGAAGUAUUCUAGGUGGAAUUGAUUUCUGGAGCAGAAUAUGAUGUAUUUGGGACUUCCUACUCUAUUAGAGAGGUUAAUAACAUGUUAAUUGUCACAUCAUUAGUUUUAGAUUAUAAAUUUUAUAUUCAAACUUUGUAUGACUGCUCCUUUUUCAUUUGAAAAAAAAAAUUAACUUCUAGCAUGAUCUAAUUAAUUGAUCUUAUUUCAAAAGAAUCAAAAAAAUAAAUAAAUAAAAUAAAGCAAUGCCAUAAUCUAAUUGGUCUUGUUAUUGACAUGUACUAAUGCAUUCUAUAUUUUUAACUUUGUACAUUUUAUUGAUAUGUACAAAUUGUCAAUGUUUGCAGUGUCGUUGUUUGAAGUAACAACAAAGUAAAAUAGAGGAGAGAAAUUACCGGUGGGUGAUAGUAAUUGCAACCAUUCGAGAAUUUACCGCCACUUGAUGUGGGGAAUGUGAGAUAUCUUAUGCCAGUCUUCUCCUUUCCCCUCUCGAUAACGGUUUUCCAGAAGAGGACAUCCCUGAAUACUCAAGUGCUGCAGCGUCGUCGUUUGAAGAAGGUAAUCCGGCAGCACCUUUAAUUUGGGGCAAUGCUUAAUUUUCAAGGAAGAAAGACGUGGCAUGAUGGAGAUGUUUUCCUUCCUCGUAAUCCUGUAAUUCCACUCUUCCAAUUCAUCCAAGAACCAAAUUUUGAGAGAUUUCAAUUUGGGGAAGGCAAUAACUGAUGAUGACGAUGAAGAUGAAGAUGGGUCGUCCCAAUAACUGCUUUCUUCUAUUCCUAAAAACUCAUUACCCACUCUUUUUACACCAAUCAAAUUGCAUAGGAUGAGUUUUUCCAGAGGCAAUUUUCCCAAAGGAGGCAAAUGCUCACAGUUAAAACACAAGGAAAGAUAUAAAUUCCUUAGAUUGGUUAGUGAAGUCAACCAUUUGGGAAAAAUGACGCCUCCAUAGGAUUCAAUCCAUAAUUCCUCUACAUUCAAAGGCGGUUGUAAGGCUUCAAGAAGUUGUUUAUCUUUCUCGUUCUUCCUCCUCCUUUCUUCGCCUUCCCCAUCUACGACUACACCAAACUCAAGACGCAAACGAAGGAGGUUUUUCUUAUUGUAAAGUUGUAACCUCUCAGCCUCAUCUACAUGCGAUACAUUACUCAGCCCUUCUAUUCCACAUUCUCGAAGGAGUUGAAGAUUUUUCAGAGAUUCAAGCCUACACGUGCUGCCACCAUCAACACCUCCACCCACAACAAACUUUUCUAAUGUUCGAAGGCUGGUCAAUCUGGAAAUCCCUAUUGGCAGGUACUUCAGCUUUUCAGUUUGAUCAUUCAGUAAACUCCUCAUGUUCUUUAACUUCCCAAUCCCCGCAGGCAAUUCUCUAAGAUAUUUGCACCGCCUAAUAUCUAGUUUUUGUAAAUUAUAUAAUUCACACAAAGUCUCAGGUAGUCUCGCUAUAUACAAUUUAGACAACUUAAGAUAUUUUAAAUGUAUCAAUUUUCCAACAUUAUCUGGAAUUUCUGUAAUCCAAUUUGUGUCUUCAUACAAAAGCUUGGUCGAUUGGCUUAUAACUAAUGCCCUUAAACAUGCCAAUUUACUAAAUAACUCCCGAAGGAUGCUACUGUUAAGAGAUAAAUUGACAAAACUUUGGUCAUAAAUUAAUAGGGUACGCAAUCUAUUAAGUCCAUAAAUGGUCAUAGGAAAUGAAGCUCCUCCUCCAAAAUUUAACCCUAAGUGACGGACUUUGUCACCAAAAAAGUUUAUGACUGAUUCCUUGGUACCAUUAAUUUCUAGCCACAAACAUUCUUUGCUACUUACAAAUUGGGCAAAAUCAUGUACUAUGUCAUGCAUCUUACACCACAUAAAAUCAUCAUCGUCAUCAUAUAUUUUAAACUCUUGAAAGAAAGAGCGUGUUGCUAAGAUGUUGAAAUACUCUUCUCCAAUCAUCUCCAUUUCUUCGUCUUCUUCUGCAUUAAGGUAACCUUGAGCCAUCCACAGAUCAAUCAACUCCUCUUUAUCCAUCUCGUAGUCUUUUGGAAAGACAACACAAUAUGAGAAACACCGUUUUACCAUAGAAUUGGAGGGCAAAUCGUUAUAACUCAACAACAAAGGAGCUAAAAGACCUUGCCCAAUCUCUUCUACUUUCCACAUUUCACUAUCUAAAAUUAUUUGCCACUCUUUUUCUGUAAUUUUAGAGCGCAAGAGAUUCCCUAUUACCUUUGCAGCAAGAGGCAGGCCUUUGCACUUCCGUGCAAUUUUUCUCCCGAUUGGUUCUAAUUUUUCACGAUCCUCAAAGGACCUACGUAGAAAUGCUAUCUGCUUAAACAGUAACCAACAUUCCCCUUCACCCAACUCCUUGACAGGGAUAAUAUCUAUUGAUCCCAACUGUAGUGCAACUGACCUAUCACGUGUGGUAAUUAGAAUUUUACUUUCAUGGCGGCCAUUCUUUAGACAAGAAAAGAAUAGGUCCCAUUUUUUGUAAUCUCCAUCCCACACAUCAUCUAAAACAAGAAAAAAUUUCUUCCCUGUAAUAUAUUCCUGAAUCUGUUUCAUAAGAGAUUCGAAUUCGCUUAAACCAGAAGCUGACACACCUAAACCUUCAAUGAUUGCUUUGGCGACCCUAAUCUCCUCAAAAGUGUCUGAUACACACACCCAUAUAACUUUGUCAAAAUUUCUUUUCACCUCAUCAUUAUUAUAGGCUAGUUGUGCAAGAGUGGUUUUACCUAUACCCCCUAACCCAACUAGUGAGAUGAUAUGAAGGCCUUCUUGUUGUUCACUACUUUCACACAACAACUUGCUUAAGAGCUUCUUUUUCUCAUCAUCUCUACCGCAAACCUCUCCCUCAUCAAUCAAGGAGAUGGUUCGCACUCGCUCUGGAUUCCUAACAUUGUUACUCACAUUCUCAACAAAAUUAAACCUAUCUUUUCGAGUGGCAAUAUCAUCUAGCUUUUCACUGAUUUCUCUAAUCUUGACAGCAAUAUGAUGACGAAGACUGAGUUGUUUGAAACCACCAAAGCAGUUUGAGGCAGCAGGAAAGAAGGAACAUACCUUCGUCAAAAAAGUAACAAAAGCACUGUCGUUAUCAUCAUCAUCAUCAUCGCCUCGCUCAUCAAGCUGCAAUUUCCGUGUUUCAGUGAUCCACUCUUCCAACACAUCUUCCAUGUCGUAGGAUGCGUCUCUGAGCUGAUCCAGCCAAAAAGUAACAGCUUUGUCCUGCUUCAUUUGCCUCUGCUCUGCAUCUUCCAGCACAGCUUGAAUGGCUUGAAGAUUGGUGGUAAGCUUUCCCACUUCAUGUUCGACACCCGUGACAAGCCUCCACUUUUCUUUCACCUGAUCUUGAGCAAUGGAUUUCAGCUGGUCCAGGAGAGAGGAAACGAUCGCAUGAGCCAUUCUGAUAUUAGAUCAAAUGGUAAAUGCUGCAAUUGCUUUUCGUGCUGCUUAAAUGCUCAGAGGAAAGUAGCUUUUAUGUAUUCUGAGAGAAUGUUCAUUCAAGCAUGUUUGGAUUCUUCUUAUACUAAUUGGAGAUAUUUUAAUUUUUACCCUCAAGUCAAUGUCAAUGUGAACGUUCUUUUGUGCUGCAAAUUGAAGGAGUCCCCACAGGAGUCACCGUCGUGGGCUAGCUUUCUGCGGAGUACACAGCAUCAGCACUUGUAAAAUUUCUUACAUUUGUAUUUAGUUACUUGCCGCUCUUAAGAUAAUUAGCAACAAAAUAUUUGUAAACUGCAACAAAAAGCUCAGUGCAAUCUAUCUAUGAAUCUUGUGAGUUCACAUAUAAUACAGUCGAUUUAGAAUAGUCAUAAAUUUUUUUUAAUUAUAAAUAGUAGUAUAUUUUUAAUGGUAUAAUAUAUAUCGAUGAAACUAUAUAGAGUAAUUUCGCCUAAUUGUAUAAAUUCAUUAUGAAUAUCAUCACAAAUUUGUAUUUGGUCGGGACCGUGCGAGUGAAAUUUUUGAUAAAAAUCAUCUCCUGACAAUUUAUUUAUUAUAUUUUUCAAUUUAGCUUUAACGUAUGGAUCCAUUCCUUUUAUUAUCAGGUAGGCCAAAGCCAUUUGGUCAUUUGAUCCAUUCCUUUUAUUAUCAGGUAGUUCAAAUUUGUAUGGAUCCAUUCCUUUAGUUGGGACUUGGAAUAAGAUUAAAGAAAAAAAAGUUAUCCAUUUAUGAGACUUUAAUUUAUGUCAUUAUUGUUUAUUUAUAUUUAAUAUUAAUCAUGAAAAUUAAUAAUACCAUCAAUUAAUUGAUUUUACAUACUUUUUUAAAUAUUUGAUAAGAAUUUGAUAAAAAAUUAAUUAAGUAUUUAAAUUUUUAUUCAUUUUUUUAUUUGUUUAUUUUAUUAUGAAUACCCAAUAACUUACAAUAUGAUUAAUUUUCUUAUUCAGACUACUCAGCAUCAGCUCCUGUAAAAUUUCUUACAUUAUAAGCAACAAAAUAUUUAUAAACUACAACAAAAAGCUUAGAUCAAUCCACCGAUGAACCUUUUGAAGUUAUAUAUAAUAUAUUAAUUAUUGAUCUAGAAUAGUCUUAGUGGAUAGAUUUUUUUAAUUAUAAAUAUCAAUAAAUUUUUUAUCGUUUAAUAGAUAUUGAUGAAAUAAUAUAGUGUAAUUUUGCCCAAUCAAAUUAAUCCAUUAUGAAUUUCAGCACAAAUUUGCAUGUGGUCUGGACCGUGCAAGUGAAAUUUUUUUAUUAUAUUUUUCAACUUGGCCGACAACAUCUUUUUGUCAGGUAGGCAAAAGCAAAAGCCAUUAUCUCUAUUAUGCCAUGACAAACUCCAAGAUCUAAUUUAGAGAGCGACAACUUUUGUUAUCAGGUAGGCAAAAGCCAUUGUCUCAUUAAUUCAUUUGGUCAUUUGAAAAAGUUGUGGCUCUGUUUUAGUCCAGUGUCAAUAUAUAACUUUAUUAUGUCAUCACAAACUUCAAAAUAUAGUUUAGAGUGUGACUCGAAUAAUUUUAAUUAGUAAUUUAUUAUAUCUACAGUCGGAUACUUUGUUGAGAAAAAAAAAAAAGAAUAAAAUCUGUCCCAUAAUGAUUUUAAUAAAUAUCAUACUAUCGUCCACGUACUUGGGCCAUCUUCAAUAUGACACCAAAUCUAACACCAAAUCACCUUUUGUAUCAUUUUUAGUAUAAAAUACUUCUCUAAUGUAACACUAAAAGCAACACCAAAAUAGUGUUAUGAAUAAUAUUGCAUCAAAUAUGGUGCAACACUAUUCAUUUGGUGCUAGGAAAAAAAAGUCCCAAAUAUCCUUACUACCUUUUCUUAUUUACAUAUAUGUCCUAUUUUAUAUAAUAUUUUAAGUUAUUAUUAUUAUUAUUUUUGUUAUUAUUUUUUUUUCAUUUUUUUAAUUUUUGAAUAUUAUACUAAAAUUUUAAAUAAAAAAUAUUUAACACAAAAAUUAAUAAUAAAAAGAAAAUGCCAAAUUUAAUAAUUUUCUAUAUUUCUUUUGUUAAUCGAUAUAAAAUUAUUUAUUACUUAAUUAUAUGUAUUAAUAGUAAUAUUUAUUGUGUUAAUUGAAUUAAUUCUUGAAAUUAAAAGAAUAAAAAGAAGAAUAUUCUUUUUGGUGUAAAUGGAUUGGAGAUGAAAUAGCAAUUUGGUGUGAAAAAAGUACAUUUUUGGUGUAGUAUCACUAUUGUGGUGAUACUAUAGUGACACAAGAUACUGACGCAAAAAUCACUGACACCAAAAAUUAGUGUCAGUGUGUUCUAGCUUGAGCAUUACUGACACAAUUAACAAGUGUCAGCAAAAGUAAUUACUGACACUAAAGUGGUGUCAGUAAAGCCCAUUUUUCUAGUAGUGAAUUUUUAACUCAAUCGCAGGGCAUAAUAGCCUAGGUUGUUCUGCAUUUGGUUCGACUCAUCGCAAGCUUGGAAACUAUAUUAUAUGUCCAAAACGAAUACUCGUAACCCAAUUUCUAGCCUCGGAAGAUACCCUGCUUAUUCCAUGCAACAAUCUUAUAUCAACUUGCCUUCUCUGCAUCUUCAAGCACAACUUGAAUGGCUUGAAGAUUUAUGGUAAGUCACAAGCAGCAAAGGAGUUCAGCUGCUCCGGGAGAGGGGAAGCGAUCACAUCCAUUCUGGCAAAGAAAAGGAGAAAUAAUUUCAUAAGUUGUUCAACGUGCUUUUGUUGCAAAAAUACUGAAAGAAACGAGUUGUUGCAUUCUUCUUACACUACACGAAAAAUGUUUAUGGUUAUUGUCGCCUAACCCACGCGUCAAUAAUUUUAGCAUUUUUAAUUUUCCUGAUUCUACUCCACAUCUGUGAUACAUAAUUGUAAAUAUUCUCUAAUUAAUUUGUAGUGGUCGGGCCAGUGCCAUUUAAAACGAAAACAAAAAACCAAAAGAAAAAAAAAACAAAAGUUGGAAAAAAGCAUGCAUCACCGAUAAUUCAUUUAUUUAUUUGAGGACGGGGAUAUUUUCUACCUACUUAUUUUACAAAUCUACCUCGCUGUCAGAAAAUAAUUGUAAUACGUUCAUACUAUUUUUAAAAUAUAUAAAUCAAUAAAACGUAUAGACAAUCAAUAAAUUAAAUCAUUCAUAUAAUUUUUUAUUUUUUUAACUUAGGUGUCUUUGACCAUUUAGGUUGCUUUAAGAUAAGUUUUAUUUGACUAAUUUACCAUGAUAAUAUAAAAUGACUAAAAUACCCCAAGAAUCAAGAGUUCUUGUAUAUAAUAGUUUAGGUAUUUUAUUUUAUUUGAUUCAAUCUCCAAACUUAUUGUAAUUACAUCUUCUUUAUUUCAAUUUUUAAAAAAUAAUUUGAACUUAUUGUAAUUAUUUCUUGAGAGUGGGGUGGGUUUACAAAAAUUAUGGGCCUUUUCGUUUAUUAAUUCUUGGAAAUUAAUGGCUCCGUAAUCAAUUUCUUUUGUUCUUUUAUUUAAAUAGAAAAGAAAAAUUAAGAGGAGCUUUUGUCUAUUGAAUUGAGGUUCUGUGAAGAAAAAUACGUAUCAAAUGAUCGACGGAUUGUACUUUUCAAUUUUUUACUUCACAGUACUUUUCUUUAUUUGCUGGGUCAUUUAUGUUUUUUUGGACGGAUUUAAGUGUGCUUAUACAUUUUAUUGAAUUUUAUUUUGAUAAAAUCACCAACGAUCAGAAGAGAUUUACACUACCUAUCUGAGUAUUUGGUUCUCUAAUGUAAGGAAGCAUGUAAUCUUUCGCCAAUAAUUUUUUAUUUCAUCAAAAUGUUAAAAUGUUGAAAGGAGAAUUAGAUUUAUUUUUUAUAUAAAAAAGAGAAUUAGAGUUCAUAUUGUAGAAAAUUCUUUUUCCUACUAUAAGUCCAGUUCGAAUCUUUGAAGCAAAUGAUCUAAUCUCAAGCAUAGAAAGUAGGAAGAUCGAUUGAACAGCGGACACAUUAACAAAAAAUAAUUACUUUAAAAAGUUAAUAUUGGAUAUCACAAAACUUUUAUUAUUAUUAUUGUAAGUUGGUAUGUUGAAAAAUAAACAAGCUUUAUAUGAACUUUAAACACAGAUAAUAAUUUGCACGUAGUAAAAUUGCUUAAUACAUCCAUUAUUUUAUCAUUUUUAACUUUAUCUAUCGGUUAUUUUCAUUUUGAAAAUAUAGGAUAAAUGAAAUAAUAACAAACACAUAUUUCAAUUGAAAAUUUAUCAACUUGAAAACACCAUUUUCAUUCUCAUAAUAUGAAUUUAAAAAUAAAAUACAGAACAUGCCCUAACAUUUUCUGAAUUUAUUUUUAUACCGUAAAAGAAUCAAAUUACUCACACAAUUAUUUUAGCUUUUAUGAUAUAAACAAAUAAUCAUUAUUUAAAUUCAAUAGAAAGAGGUAUUCUUGGUAGAAUUGACGUCUUUAGCAAAAUAUAAUCUAUUUGGGACUUCUUACUCCAUUAGGUUAAUUGGCUCAUCAUUAAUUUUCGAUUAUAAACUUUAUAUUCGAACUUUGUAAGACCAUCAUUUCUCCCUUUUUAUUUUAAAAAAAAAAUUAACUUCUUGCAUGAUCUAGGUGGUCUCCUUUCAAAAGAAACCAAAAAAAAAAAAAAAACUAAAAUAAAAGGAAAUAAAGCAUAUUCUUUAUCUUAAUUACUUUCAUUUGUUAUUGACAUGUACUCAUGCAUUGUGGUCUUUUGUAUACUUUAUCGAUAUGUUUUGCUUAAGGGAUAAAACUCAUUAUGUGGCAAAAUUUUAUUAGAGCUGGGAUUAUUUAUCUGUGUUCUAGUACUUUGAGCAUCUUACUAUACACUCGUCUAUAAAAUUUUAACAUUAAUUUUUACUACUCAUCGAAAUAUCAAAAUAGUCCUUACUAAACAUCUCUCAUUAAUGUUCUGUAACGUAUGUGAAAAAAAAAUAAUAAUAAUAAGAGGAAGCUGGGUAAUGUUUUAUGGGCGAGAGGGAUAGAGGAAGCUGUCAAACCGACCCGGAAAACCCGACCCAAAACUGCGAACCCGACCCAGACAUAUCUCCGAUUUUCGGCCACCUCACCGGCCAUGGAUGGUAGCAACGAAAGCUCCUGAGCCAGCCAUCACUUUCCCACCGUCACUGUCGCCAAAAACCAACCGAAACGCCGCCGUUUGAAGCGCGAAUAGUCGCAGCCAAAACCUAUCACGACCGUCGUUGAUUCCGUCGGAAUUAGGCCAUGCCAGACGGAGAAAUGGUAGGGGGUAAACAGAGUUUGUAACGGAGGUGGGGUAAAUGGAGGAUGAUGUAGAGAGGGCAACCAACGGCCAUGAUGAGGGAGAGGAGGAGGAGGAGGAGGAGGAGGGUGAGGUUAUGGACGGCUGUGAUGGGCUUGAGGAUGUGGGGUCCAAUGAGAGGUGAUGAUGGUGGUGAUGUUGAUGUUGAUGUGUGGUAGAGGAUGAAUGUGAGGGAAAGGUAAGUGAGGAUGGAGAGAUACGUAACUAUUAUUUAUUGAAAAUUAAUUCUUUAAAUACUUUAAAAUGUAAAAUUAUUAAAUAAAAAUUCAUUCUAUUGUUGUUAAUUCACAAAAUUUUAAUUCAAUUAUAACAUUUCUACUUAUUUUUUUAAGUUAAAUUAUAUCUUUUUUAUUUUUUUUUCUAAAUUAAACUAAUUUUUCUAUUCUUCUAUUGUCUAAAGUUUUUCGACAUAGUUUUAUUUCAAAAUAGAUAAAACAAGCACAAAAAAAAGUGAUGAAUAAAAGAAUAUAUUAAAAAGAAAUAAGAACAAAUAACAACACAACUAAUUAAGAGAAUAAUAAAAAGAUAAAAUCAUAAAUUUGAGAUGAAAUCAUAAAUUAACUUAUAUUUAUAUUAAGGCUAUUGUUUGAAAAUUUGAGUAACGACCAAUAGUCAUAGAAAAUAGAGAAAACUAUUAGAUUUUUUCUUUUUCUUCUAUAGUAAAAAGUAGAGGAAGCAAGAUUUUUUCCCCUCUCUCUCUUUCUUUCUCUCAAACACCAAGAUGUCUUCAUUAUUGGAGGAAAAAUUUAAUGGAUAAGUAAUAAAAUGUAGGGCUUUUAUAGAGGUUCAAAAUAAAUAUAAAACUUUUGAAAUAUAACUUAUUAAUUUUAACAAUGAAAUAGAUAAUUUUUAGGAUUGAAACGAUUAAUUUAUUGGUUUUGUAGAAAUUAAAACAAUUAAGUACUACAUUAAAUACACUUUAUAGGAAUUUGAUAGUUUAUUUAGAAAAAAGAUAAUUACAAAAUAAUAAUAAAUUAAAUGAAUAAUAAUGACUUUUAAAUUCAUUUUCCUCUUUUAUAUACAAAAUAAUCAUCUCAUAGGACUUUUAUAUAAAGUGGAGUUCUAUGCAACUGCCUAAGUUGCCUAGAGGUCGAGCCGCUACUGAUUACAAGCCAAUAUUGGAGUGUUGAGGUAACUAGAUAUGAAGCCAUGGCUGGUUUUUGGGGGAGAAAGAUUUGGAAGAGAUUAUGUUGAGAGGAACGGGGGAGUUCAUAAAGUUUUAGGAUAAUGUGGAGGGUAUUUUGGACAUAUUACCGUCUUAGCUUAAAUUUUGGGAAAAAGAUAAUCAAUAAUAAACUAUUUUUUCAUAUCAAUUUAAAACUCCGAGUGUGUCUCCAAAAAUUGUUUUCUUUUUUUUAUUAUUUUGGAUUUUAAAUCUUAAAUUUAGUAAAGGAAGUUAAAUCAAGUGAUCACUUUUUUUUUUCAUGCAAAGCAAUUAAUCUUUUUUGUAAUUUAAGCAAAUAUUGGGUUGCGUACUUUAACAAUAUUAAUAUUUGAUUCGAAAUUUCAUCUACCGAAACUACAAAAAUUAUUAUUUUCUAUUAAAUCAAAAACAAAAUUAAGAAAUAACUUAUUAUCUGCCAACUGUCAUUCAACAAAGCCAUCACUCAUGCAAAAAAGGGAAAAAAAAAGUGAUAUAUUCAUUUUAACGUAAUUUCAUACCAACAUAUCAUCCUUUUCUUUUGAACAAUGACCUCUUCAAUAAUAAAAUAUGGUAAAAGAGGAUGGGUUUCAGGUCUGGCGUCCGGGCCUUGGUGACAAUGGCAUCUUCUGCUCAAUCAAACUUGUGGAUUACGUGCACUCAACGUCGACAAUAUGGAAAUGGGAGAAAAUUAUGUUGAGUAACAUCUUGUAUGGUCAACGCGUCGAGUAUGGACUUGCAUGAUCGAGUCAGUACAACUAAAGUCGGGUAGAGUUUGGUAAAUCUCUAUAUUGGCUUGAGGUUGGACAACUAUACCUUUUAAGCUACAUAUUUAAACAAUUUUAGUAAAUAUUUACUAUUUUGAUUUAAAAAUUAAUUUGAUUUGAUCUCAUAUUUUAUUAUUAAAAAAUUUAUAAUAUCUUUAAUAAUUUUAUUAAAUUAUUAUUUAAAAGUCAUACAUUUACUGCACAUUAUCAACUUUCUGCUAUUUUUUUUGUUCUCACAACAGCUAGUAAUAUCAAACAAGAGCUAAGUUAAGUAUGAUCAAUUAAUUAAAGUUUUGAUUUUUUGUAUAAAAUAAUCCUUAGAUAAUUAGUCUAUAUAGAAUAUUGGCUACUUCAAAUGGAAACUUGUGAUCAAAAGUGUAAUUCCCUCUAUCAGUGAACUAUACUUGCCAGGAAAUUAACCCCAGGCGAGUACCACCACCUCCUACUAUUUCUUAGGUGUCUCAGAGUUUGAUGAGGACUUCCAUGACGUGUCUCUUCGACAGGCAGCGAAAUUGGGCAAUUGACUACAUUAACUCCAACAAAUUUAUGCAGUCACCUUCCUCCGGACUAUCCUCUUUCUUCGCGCUUUAGUUGCCCUUAUUUCCCCUUUAAUACAGUCAACAUUAUCUUGUUUGAUGCCAAGGAGACCAAGCCCAGAAACAAUGGCAUUCUUUGAUAUCAACCACCUGGGGACUUUUGAGCUGAGCCAUGACAUCCUGAGAUGGCCUGUUGUGUAAGCCUUCUUCAAAAGGUCAUCCGUUAAUCUUUCUCCUAAUUAGACAUUCAAAACCCUGCAUGGAAUCGAUUUGAGAAGUUGGACAAUAGACAAACUCCAACACAUAUAGACAGUAAAGAAGAAUUUAGACCGCAAUCACUGUGGCUCAACAAAUGGGCCUAUUAAAGCCUAUUAAAAGUUGGAACCAUAUUCACCACUCGCAUUUCCUUAAGAGAGCUAUACCAGAAUUCUGUAAAUUUAAAACUUUUCUUACAUAAUUAACUGUAAAACAAGAGAAAUUGUACUUCCGUAGCAAAGUCUCACUAUUGGUAAGUAUCUGGACUUGGAAAGGAUGCUAGUUGAUGAAGUAAAGGAAAAUUGAAAUCAGACUUUGAGGUGACAGAUCUAUACACUUCAAUAGGAACCACAUUGACAUCAUAUGAGACAAAUAAACAUUCCCCAGUCAAAGUUUAACAAACAAAACAUUAAAACAAGAGUAGGUUGGUCUAUCAAUGUAUAUAUAGACAUGUCGAUCAAUAGACAAAUACGUAAAAGAGGGAGGGAGAGACCUCAAAGCCGUGCUACUCCAAUAACUUCAAAAUUGUUCGUGACCACUCUAUCAAAUCCACGCAAUAGUUGCAUACACUCACCGAUGGGUUUGUCACAGAUAACCUGUUAGGCAUUAAAAAUUGCCCAAAUUAAACAAAUGUUAGACCAGCUUAGACAGUAAACGGAACAAUAUUCUAAUUUUACUUUAUUUAUAACGAAUAAGUGAACAAAGGAAUAAAAAGGAAUUUUGGCAAAGAAUCCUGCAGCUAAUCCCACCAUACACCGCUCUGCAGGCUUAUUUGGGAGUCAAAAUUCUCAAAAUGUACUAAGAAAUGACAUUUGUUCACUAAUCCCACCAACAAGGAGGAAGUGACGUGAAGAGAAUUUACUAAGAAAUGCCAGUGUAUUAAUAUUGAAGGAAAACAUUCACUGACGACCAAAAUCGCUGAUAUAUGCUUAAUUUCUCACUCACUAAGAACGUUCAAUUCAUUCAAAUGAAACUUCCACAGGAAGGUCUCAUUAUUAAGGCUUUAGCUUCACCUCACAUGCUCAACAAUUCAAAUUUGAGGAUGAUAUUUCUCCAAAUGGAGGGCUCUAUUUGGCUUGCCAACAAUCUUCCUCACAACUAUCAUCCUUGCUAUAUCGGUUGCACUGAGCAAUCUUCAUUCUGACAUUUGCCCUAUUAACCUGAGUACACAAGAAUCCGAAACAACUGUUAGAAAUUUUAAUCUUUAUAUACAGCCAAAAUGGUGAAUAAGAUGAUGUACUGAUAAUAAAUACCUGAGUUAAUAAAUAAUUAAGGGGCCGGUAACAAUCUCAGCAUCUUAUCAAGUGGGGAAAGCCUUCGCAACGAAGAUGCUGCUUGCUUUCAAGCAAUAAUAACUUUCCAAUUCCAUAAGAUAGCUUAAUGCCCUUUUAAGAAUAUCUCCACCAGCCUAACAAUUAUUCAUGGAAAUCCAAUUUGCAUUUGUCGCCUUCAAUUUUCUCAUCUUUGUCUAGAGUAUUGUUUUUGCAUUAACUUAGCUAGCUUGCAAACCACCUGCAGAUGGUUUUAAAUAAUGUGUGAGAGUGUGAAUUCAAACGAAUUAAUUAAAUAUGAUGACAGGAGAAACAAAAUUAAAAUAACCACAAGAAGUAGAAAUAUACUUUUGUUAUAUUCAGAGCAUCUCCUACUGUCUUCAUUUCCCUUAGCUCUGUUUCCUUUUGAGCUCGAACGCAAUGCCUCAAGGCUCAAGAUAAUUUGAUGACCAUCAAUCUUUUUGCAGCCACAUGUAGACUUGAAAAACUGUUGGCGGCCCUAAAGAACUUGAAAAUUAGAAAAGAUUCAGAAUGAGUGACUAAAUAUUAUAAUCAAAACUAAUUAAACAAACGCGCCUUGAAAAUCUGAAACUGAAUUAAUCAAAUGUAUAUGCCCCUUCACUGCAAUUGCACGUGGUGGAAAUUUUACUGCGAAGACUUUCUCAAACCUUGAAGAUCACACUCGGCCUGACAACAAAGAAACAAAGUCAAUAUACGAAGAUGAUUUUACUAACAAGUGAGAGCUUACAAAUAUUUGAAGGAUAACGAUCACUCAUAACCCAUAUCCCCAGUAUUCCCUAAUAUUUCACUCAAGUGGGUUCAAGCUCCCAAAAUUCACUACAGUGAAAUGUCAAAACAAAACUCUCUUCUCAAAUUUGAUGAUGAUAUCUCUCGAAGGGAGGCAAAAGAAUCUAACACUGAUCAAAUUGGCUUGUGAACAAUUAAUCUUCCUCGCCAUCAUUCAUACCAGGUGCGGUGAACAAUCUUCAUUCUGACAUUUGCCUUAAUAAGCUGCUUAGUAACCUUAACCUGAUAACUCACACAAACAAAAACAACUUGCCUAAAGUUUAAUAUUUCGAGCAGAACAGUAAAGAAGAUGAUAUCUAUUGAUGCUAAAAUUUGACCUGUGUUACCCUGAUGUCAAAAGUCAUAGCAUCUCAUGUGGGCAAAAUCUUCGCAACACGAGAUGCUUGCAAAAUUGGAGCAGCAUCUUAUCACCUGUAAUUUAAUUGAGACAAUAACUUUCCCCAACCAUUUCAAUGCAUUAUUGGCAACUAAAUUCAGAGGGUGCUAAUUAAAUACCCUUUUAACAAUAUCUUCUUAUUCUUCUUCAAUCUAACAAUUAUUUGGAAAAUCUAAAUGACAAUCAUGCAUCGAUGGCAUGAAAAUUUGGCUACAAAGUAGCCUGGAAAAGGCUGCUCUCUGAAUGAGAGCAUGAAUUCAAACAAAUAUGAUGAAUGAAUAAAUAAAGGCAUAAUACCACAAGAAGUAAAACUUUUCCCCAGAUUUCUGUUUCUGUUUGUGCUAAAACCAAUGGAAACCGAUGGAAAUGAAUUUCUACGAAUUAGACAUAUCAGCCAAAACAGGUACUCCGUACAAGCAAAGUAAAAGAGGGUUACAAAAAAUUUUAAUAUUGAUAUGAUAAUUAAAAUUAUAAUGAAAAUUUCAGUUACCAUAUAAUUAAUAGAUAACUCUGUACACAAUGAUUUAUUGCAUAUUAAGAUUGUAUACCUGAAUUUUAAUUGCUAUACAAAAUAUGGUAGUAUCAUUAGGAGACCGCACCAAAUGUACCGAAUUGAAUGUGCCUUUUCACAGCCAUUGUACAAGCUUUGAAGCUUUACCACAAAUGCUUUCUCAAACCCGUGAUCAUGAUGCACCCGAGAGAUGCAAGAUAUGAAAUUGUUACUACAGCAGGCAAUAACCACAGUGUUAAAACAAAUGUUUAUACAGGAUAAAUGAUUCCAAGAAUGAAACAAGAUAGCAAUGAUGAUCUCAGCACCUUAACAUCACGCAAUAAUAAUCAUCAUGUCUUUCAAGCAGCUAUCCAUCCUCAAUUGAAACAGAGCAGAUCCGGCCAUCACUUCCUUCUUCAAAGUCCAGCAACCAAACGUUGCACAAUAACCACAGUGAUAAUCCUUGGUUACCCCAAUGUUCUCCAUAGAGUCUCCAAAGUCAAUCUAAAAAUGAAAUGCAGGUGGAAAUCAAAAUUCUAUUAACUAAAUAAAAUAUAAAGUGCAAUGCUUGUGCUUGAGCUUGCUUUAACAUCAUCAUAAUAGCGAAUUUUGAUACACCUUUACUUCUCUGUGGUUCAAUCAUUUACUUCCCUGUUCUUGUUUAUUCACAACAAGAUAUCAAUAGAAGAUGAUGGAAAUGAAAUUCUAUAAAAUAAAGCAAGUGAAUUACCAGUAGACCAUUUUAGCAAUCCUUUGGCUAAACUUUUCAUUUUCUUAGCACACUGUCCUGCAGUACUGCCUGCAUCAUUAAAACCAAAUUAGAUUGGACCUGUGAAUUGCUAGUGUGGUUCUGACAUUUCCUCGAAUCCCUGGUGAACAUAAUUAAACUCGUAUGAAAUAAAACAAAGUGGGCUAAUGUACUACUAAAAACAAUUACACAAUUACUUUAAAGAAUUAAUGUCACAUAAAUUAUAUAUAAAAAAAUACGAUUAUCAUUAUACAAGAUAAAAUUGAUAAUUUAGUUUUCGACAUUACUGCAAAUGUAUGAAGGAGAUUUUGUCACUCAGGAAGUUACACAUAACAAAUUUCCGUACAUUAAAAAAUAAAUUACAUUGGGAUUUUCUAUGAUGUUGUAUGAAAUUUUACAAAAAAGCACAUAUUUUUUAAAAGUAAAUAAAUAUAGAAAUUUCAACAGACUAAACUUGUAUUUUUUUUUUAUUUAAUCUUUAGAAAACAAGUUUAACAUAUUUGAUAACUAGGAAGUUUUACAUAUUUAUACCAUGAUUGAUUCUAUAUAGAAUUAUUAAAUAAUAAAGUAAUGCCAUAAUCUAAUUGGUCUUGUUAUUGACAUGUACUCACGCAUUCUAUAUUUCUAACUUUGUACAUUUUAUUGAUAUGUACAAAUUGUCAAUGUUUGCAGUGUCGUUGUUUGAAGUAACAACAAAGUAAAAUAGAGGUGAGAAAUUACCGGUGGGUGAUAGUAAUUGCAACCAUUCGAGAAUUUACCACUCGGACUCGAUGUAGGGAAUGUGAGAUAUCUUAUGCCAGUCUUCUCCUUCCCCCUCUCUAUAACGGUUUUCCAGAAGAGGACAUCUGUGAAUAAUCAAUUCCUGCAGCGUCGUCGUCCGAAGAAGGUAAUCCGGCAGCACCUUUAAUUUGGGGCAAUACCCAAUUUCCAAGGAAGAAAGACGUGGUAUGUCUGUUGUCUUGCGAUCUUCUAGAAUGGGCAGUUCUUCUAGAAGAUCACAAAAAUAAAUACGCAGUUCCUGCAGUGCCGUCGAUUGAAGAAGGUAAUCCGGCAGCGCCUUCAAUUUGGGGCAACCUCUAAUCCACAAGGAAGAAAGACGGGGCAUGAUGGAGAUGUUUUCCUUCCUCGUAAUCCUGUAAUUCCACUCUUCCAACUCUUCCAUUCCCCCAAUGUCGAGUGAUUUUAAUUUGGGAAAGGCAGUAACUGAUGAUGACGAUGAAGAUGAAGAUGGGUCAUCCUCACUGCUUUCUUCUAUUCCCAAAAACUCAUUACCCACUCUUUUUACACUUUUCAAAAUGUAUAGUUGGAGUUUUUCCAGAGGUAAUUUUCCCAAAGGAGGCAAAUGCUCACAGUUAAAACAAAACCAAAGAUUUAAUUCCCUUAGAUAGGUUAGUGAAGUCAACCAUUUGGGAAAAAUGUCGCCUCCGUAGAAACAAAUCUGUAAUUCCUCUACAUUCAAAUGCGGUUGUAAAGCUUCAAGAAGUUGUUUAUCUUUCUCAUUCUUCCUCCUCCCUUCUUCGCCUUCCCCAUCUACGACUCCAUCAAACACAAGAUGCAAACGAAGGAGGUUUUCCAUAUUGUGAAGUCCUAUUCUCUCAGCCUCAUCUAAAUGUGAUACAUUACUCAGCCCUUCUAUUCCACAUUUACGAAGGAGUUGAAGAUUUUUCAGAGAUUCAAGCCUACACGUGCUGCCGCCAUCAACACCUCCACCCACAACAAACUUUUCUAAUGUUCGAAGACUGGUUAAUUUGGAAAUCCCUAUUGGCAUGUACUUCAAUGAAUAAGUUUGACCAUUCAGUAAACUCCUCAUGUUCAUUAACUUCCCAAUCCCCGCUGGCAAUUCUCUAAGAUUUGGGCACCGCCUAAUAUCUAGCUUUCGUAAAUUAUAUAAUUCACACAAAGUCUCAGGCAGUCUCUCUAUACAUAAUUCAGAUAAAUUAAGAUAUUUUAAAUGUAUCAAUUUUCCAAUAUUUUCUGGAAUUUCUCUAAUGAAAUUUGGGCUAGGAUGAGAAAAUGAGGACAACUGUCUUAUAACUAAUGCCCUUAAACACGCCAAUUUACUAAAUAACCCCGGAAGGAUGCUACUACGAAGAGACGGACCUUUAUCAUAAAUUAAGAGGGUCCGCAAUCUAUUAAGUCCAUAAAUGGACAUAGGAAGUGGAGCGCCUCCUUCAAAAUUUAAUCCUAGGUGACAGACUUUGUCACCAAAAGAAUUUAUGACUGACUCUUUGUUACCAUCAAUUUCUAGCCACAAACAUUCUUUUCUACUUACAAAUUGGGCAAAAUCAUGUACUAUGUCAUGCAUUUUACACCUCAUAAACUCAUUAUCGCCACCGUAUGUUUCAAACUCUUGAAAGAAAGAGUGUGUUGCUAAGAUGUUGAAAUACUCUUCUCCAACCAUCUCCAUUUCUUCGUCUUCUUCUGCAUUAAGGUAACCUUGAGCCAUCCACAUAUCAAUCAAUUCCUUUUUAUGCAUAUAGUGGUCUUUUGGAAAGACAGCACAAUAUGAGAAACAUUGUUUUACCAUAGAAUUAGAGGGCAAAUCGUUAUAACUCAACAACAAAGGAGCCAAAAGACCUUUCCUAAUCUCUUCUACCUUCCACAUUUCACUCUCUAAAAUUCUUUGCCACUCUUUUACUGUACAUUUAGAGCGCAAGAGAUUCCCUAUUACCUUUACAGCAAGAGGCAGGCCUUUGCACUUGCGUGCAAUUUUUCGUCCGAUUGGUUCUAAUUUUUCACAAUCCUCGAAAGAGCGACCGAAAAAUGCCAACCGCUUGAACAACAACCAGCAUUCCUCUUCAGCUAGUUGUUCAAUGGAGAUAAUAUCUAACUCUAUUGUUCGCAUCAUACGUGCAACUGACUCAUUACGUGUGGUAACCACAAUUUUACUUCCAGGAAGACCAUUCUUUAGACAAAAGAAGAAUUGAUCCCAUAUAUUAUAAUUCCCAUCCCAUACAUCAUCUAAGACAAUAAAAAUUUUUUUUCCUUCAAUUGAUCUAUGGAUAUGGCUCAUAAGAGAUUGGAAUUCGCUUAAACCAGAAGCUUCUUUUGACUCGCCUAGUCCUUCAAUAAUUGCUUUGGCGACCCUCAUCUCAUCAAAAGUGUCUGAUACACACACCCAUAUAACUUUUUCAAAAUUUAUUUUCACCCCAUCAUUAUUAUAGGCUAGUUGUGCAAGAGUGGUUUUACCUAUACCCCCUAACCCAACCAGUGAGAUGAUAUGAGGAUGUUGUUCGCCACUCUCACCCAACAACUUACCUAACAGCUCAUUUUUCUCGUCAUCUCUACCAAAAAUCUCUCCCUCAUCAAUCAAGGAGGUGGUUGGCACUCGCUCUGAUUUCUUAACAUUGUUACUCACAUUCUCAACAAAUUUAAACAUAUCUUUUCGAGUGGCAAUACCAUCUAGCUUUUCACUGAUUUCGCUAAUCUUGACAGCAACAUCAUCACGAAGAAUGAGUUGUUUGAAACCACCUAAGUAGUUUGAGGCAGCACGAAAGAAGGAACAUACCUUCUUCUUAGGAGGAGCAAGAGCAAGAGCAUCGUCAUCAUCGCCGCCCUCAUCAAGCUGCAAUUUCCGUGUUUCAGUGAUCCACUCUUCCAACACAUCUUCCAUGUCGUAGGAUGCGUCUCUGAGCUGAUCCAGCCAAAGAGUAACAGCUUUGUCCUGCUUCAUUUGCCUCUGCUCUGCAUCUUACAGUACAGCUUGAAUGACUUGAAGAUUGGUAGUAAGCUUUCCCACUUCUUGUUCGACACCCGUCACAAGCCUCCACUUUUCUUUCACCUGAUCUUGAGCAAUGGAUUUCAGCUGGUCCAGGAGAGAGGAAACGAUCGCAUGAGCCAUUCAGAGGAAAGUAGGUUUUAUGUAUUCUGUGAGAAUGUUCAUUCAAGCAUGUUUGCAUUCUUCUUAUACCAUAUGAGAUAUUUAAUUUUUACCCUCGAGUCAAUGUCAAUAAUUGUACAGCGUCUGCCCUGUUUCUCUGAUUCAUAAUAAUUCAUUGUUAAUUCUGCAGAGUACACAGCGUCAGCACUUGUGAAAUUUCUUACAUUUGUAAAAUCAUGCAGCCGACCCUUGUGAACUAACUAAUUAACUAAAUUUUCUUACAUUGUCAAUAAGUUAUGAUUAUUGUGAAUUUUCCAUCCCCUAUAUAAAUUCUUAGAUUUAUUUAAAUUGUGAGUCAUAGAAGUAUAUUACCUAAAUUAUUUUAUCAGGCCAUGUUCCGAUACUAGGAGUAAGUACGGAAUUGGACUAAUUUUGUGAUUAUCUAUUUAUCUCAUAUUUGAUAAGCUUAAUUGAAUUGGAUUUAGGAACCAAAUUUAAAUUUAAUCCUAAAAUUAUGGAAUUGAUAAUCCUAAUUUACGCAUAACUUUAGUUGGGAUAAAAUUAAAGAAAAAAAGUUAUCCAUUUAUGAGACUUUAAUUUAUAUCAUUAUCGUUUAUUUAUGCUUAAUAUUUAUUUAUUUUUUUUAAUUUAUGAUUUACUUAAAAUUUAUUUUUAUUUAUUAUCUAUCAUCUGAUUAAAUUAGAACUUUACUUCUACUAACUCUUGAUAUUAAUUUUUCAUUACUUGCAUAUUUGAUAAUUUGUCAAUAAAAUUAACCAUUUAAUAAUUUAUUGCAUAAUAGAUUGUAUUAAACUUACUAAUCACUAAAAAAAUAUUUAAAAUCAUCAUGAAAAUUAAUAAUACCGUCAAUUAAUUGAUUUUAUAUACUUUUUUAAAUAUUUGAUAAAAAAUAAUUAAGUAUUUAAAUUUUUAUUUCAUUUUUUUAUUUGUUUAUUUUAUUAUGGAUACCCAAUAACUUGCAAUAUAAUUAAUUUUCUUAUUCAGACUACUCAGCAUCAGCUCCUAUAAAAUUUCUUACAUUAUAAGCAACAAAAUAUUUAUAAACUACAACAAAGGGCUUAAAUCAAUCCACCGAUUAACCUUUUGAAGUUAUAUAUAAUAUAUUAACUGUUGAUCUAGAAUAGUCUUAGUGGAUAGAUUUUUUUUAAUUAUAAAUAUCAAUAAAUUUUUUUUAUCGUUUAAUAGAUAUUGAUGAAAUUAUAUGGAGUAAUUUCGCCCAAUCAUAUAUAUUAUAACAAAAGUUGGAAAAGAGAAAAAUAAAACAAAAGUUGGAAAAAUCAUGCAGUCGUUGGGAAUUUCGAAAUUUGAGAAUUUUGCCCGUAGCUACAGGCUGCAGCGAUUUUUGACUUUCAUGAUGCAAACAAACCAAUCAUCAUUAAUUUCAAUAGAAAGAAGUAUUCUAGGUGGAAUUGAUUUCUGGAGCAGAAUAUGAUGUAUUUGGGACUUCCUACUCUAUUAGAUAGGUUAAUAACAUGUUAAUUGUCACAUCAUUAAUUUUAGAUUAUAAAUUUUAUAUUCAAACUUUGUAUGACUGCUCCUUUUUCAUUUGAAAAAAAAAAAAAAAAUUAACUUCUAGCAUGAUCUAAUUA